UCAGGAUGAACGCUGGCGGCGUGCCUAACACAUGCAAGUCGAACGGAGUGCGAGAGCUUGCUUUGCAACUUAGUGGCGGACGGGUGAGUAAUGCGUGAGCAACCUGCCUUUCAGAGGGGGACAACAGUUGGAAACGACUGCUAAUACCGCAUAACGUAGCGAGGGGGCAUCCCCAUGCUACCAAAGGAGCAAUCCGCUGAAAGAUGGGCUCACGUCUGAUUAGCUAGUUGGUGGGGUAACGGCUCACCAAGGCUGCGAUCAGUAGCCGGACUGAGAGGUUGAACGGCCACAUUGGGACUGAGAUACGGCCCAGACUCCUACGGGAGGCAGCAGUGGGGAAUAUUGGGCAAUGGGCGAAAGCCCUGACCCAGCAACGCCGCGUGAAGGAAGAAGGUCUUCGGAUUGUAAACUUCUUUUAUGAGGGACGAAGGACGUGACGGUACCUCAUGAAUAAGCCACGGCUAACUACGUGCCAGCCGCUGC
rnacentral:rRNA from 1 species